UUUGAUGGCGACCGGCGCACGGGUGAGUAACACGUAUCCAACCUGCCGAUGACUCGGGGAUAGCCUUUCGAAAGAAAGAUUAAUACCCGAUGGCAUAGUUCUUCCGCAUGGUAGAACUAUUAAAGAAUUUCGGUUAUCGAUGGGGAUGCGUUCCAUUAGGCAGUUGGUGGGGUAACGGCCCACCAAACCUUCGAUGGAUAGGGGUUCUGAGAGGAAGGUCCCCCACAUUGGAACUGAGACACGGUCCAA
rnacentral:rRNA from 1 species